GACGAACGCUGGCGGCGUGCCUAAUACAUGCAAGUCGAACGCAGUGGGGACGGGUGAGUAACACGUGGGUAACCUCCCAUCAGAUGGGAUAACACUUGGAAACAGGUGCUAAACUGAUACGGAUGGAUGGACCCGCGGUGCAUUAGCUAGUUGGUGAGGUAACGGCUCCCCACGGCCACGAUGCAUAGCUGAGCUGAGAGGGCAAUCGGCCACACGGAGACUGAGAAACUGCCCAAGCUCCUACGGUAGGCAUAAGUAGGGAGUCUUGGGCAAUGGACAAAAGUCUAACAGGACAACCCGGCGUGAGUGAAGAAGGUUUUCUGAUCGUAAAACUCUGAUGUGAAAGAAUCGGGAUCUAACCAGAAAGCCACGGCUAACUACGUGCCAGCAGCCGCGGUAAUUC
rnacentral:rRNA from 1 species